rnacentral:rRNA from 1 species
UACAGAGGUGGCAAGCGUUGUUCGGAAUUACUGGGCGUAAAGGGCUCGUAGGCGGCCAACUAAGUCCGACGUGAAAUCCCAAGGCUUAACCUUGGAACUGCGUCGGAUACUGGAUGGCUUGAAUUCGGGAGAGGGAUGCAGAAUUCCAGGUGUAGCGGUGAAAUGCGUAGAUAUCUGGAGGAAUACCGGUGGCGAAGGCGGCAUCCUGGACCGACAUUGACGCUGAGGCGCGAAAGCUAGGGGAGCAAACGGG